GAUGAACGCUAGCUACAGGCUUAACACAUGCAAGUCGAGGGGUAACAAGAGAAAAGCUUGCUUUUCUUGUUGACGACCGGCGCACGGGUGGGUAACGCGUAUCCAACCUGCCUAUAACUAGGGAAUAACCUUGCGAAAGUAAGACUAAUACCCUAUGAUUUCCUUUGAUGACAUCAGAUUAGGAAUAAAGAUUUAUCGGUUAUAGAUGGGGAUGCGUCUGAUUAGGCUUGUUGGCGGGUAACGGCCCACCAAGGCAACGAUCAGUAGGGGUUCUGAGAGGAAGGUCCCCCACAUUAGAACUGAGACACGGUCCAAACUCCUACGGGAGGCAGCAGUGAGGAAUAUUGGUCAAUGGGCGGAAGCCUGAACCAGCCAAGUAGCGUGCAGGAUGACGGCCCUAUGGGUUGUAAACUGCUUUUAUACAGGAAUAAAGUUAGCCACGUGUGGUUAUUUGUAGGUACUGUAUGAAUAAGGACCGGCUAAUUCCGUGCCAGCCGCCGCGGUAA
rnacentral:rRNA from 1 species